AGAAACUGUAUUAUUAAGUGUUUGGUUCUUACAAUUCAAAUAACACUAUAUAAAAUAAUGAUAUUUCUACUAGUUUCAUUUUACUGCAUUAUUACAAUAUAUAUUUUUUAAUCAGAGGGUCAAAGUUUAUCCAUAUUGAAAGUUUUCACGUGGACAGUCGAGUACGCGAGAUGCUGCGCUAUGCCUUUGCUUGCGGAUGUCGGCUCGCUACUGAGCAGUGGCGUGCAGGAUUUGCUUGUCUUCUGGCCUCUACCUGUUCUCUCGGAGGAUCCCGCUGCCCACAAGAACCAGAAUUGCUCUCACCUCCCUGUUGGCCAUGGCGUACAUGCAGGCUGGCCUGGACAUCCUCACCCUGCUCCUCUAUGUCCCCACACCCCUGGCUGCCACUCAUCAGUCGGGGUCCCUGGCACUGCUCUCCCUGGCAAUCUGGCUGCUGGCAGAUAGACCCUGCUGCUGGACCACCUGCUCCCUUUCUCUUCAAGAGAGAGGUCCGAUAGACCCUGCUGCUGGACCACCUGCUCCCUUUCUCUUCAAGAGAGGUCCGAUAGACCCUGCUGCUGGACCACCUGCUCCCUUUCUCUUCAAGAGAGGUCCGAUAGACCCUGCUGCUGGACCACCUGCUCCCUUUCUCUUCAAGAGAGAGGUCCGAUAGACCCUGCUGCUGGACCACCUGCUCCCUUUCUCUUCAAGAGAGGUCCGAUAGACCCUGCUGCUGGACCACCUGCUCCCUUUCUCUUCUUUAGAGAGGUCCGAUAGAUCCUGCUGCUGGACUACCUGCUCCCUUUCUCUUCAAGAGAGAGGUCUGAUAGACCCUGCUGCUGGCCCACCUGCUCCCUUUCUCUUCAAGAGAGAGGUCUGAUAGAUCCUGCUGCUGGACCACCUGCUCCCUUUCUCUUCCUUAGAGAGAGGUCCGGUAGACCCUGCUGCUGGACCACCUGCUCCCUUUCUCUUCAAGAGAGAGGUCUGAUAGAUCCUGCUGCUGGACCACCUGCUCCCUUUCUCUUCCUUAGAGAGAGGUCCGGUAGACCCUGCUGCUGGACCACCUGCUCCCUUUCUCUUCUUUCGAGAGAGGUCCGAUAGACCCUGCUGCUUAGUGCAGUAAUACAUUUAGAUACGCAUUUCAAAGAGGGGUCUUGUUUAUGAAAACCUGUUUGAUUCAAACCUAUCAACAUUUUAUAACUAUUUCUUUAGCCAUCUUCUCUCUCUUGUGGACUUCCUGAAUGAAUGUUUAUUAGUGAAGAAACACCAGCAGUAGGUUUAUAUUGACAAGAAACACAAAGAAAGCCUCUUGGAGUCCGGUUGGUGUGAACACGAACCAGGGGGUCGCAUCCAAACUUCUUAUUUGAUUUUGUUAUUUCAUUUGUAAAUCCAGUUUGCUUUGCAGACAGUGCCGUGUAAACAGCACUGCCCAGUGUUCUUAUGCAUGACAUUGUCACGGCUGACCCCGAACCAGUUAUUAUGUGUAGUAAGAAAUUGGAUUCCUUUGCAUGGAGAAUUUCAGUGGCUAGAGUUCACGGCUCCUCGAUUGAUUCAGAUUCAGUUGUAUUAAGUCUGCCCACUAAUAAUGUAGAGCAAAAUAGGUAUUGUGGUGUUUGCAGAGCCGACCCGAGCUGAACCCAAGACAGAAGUGGAGUCCUGCUGGGAACGAGCUGAAACAUUGGACAUGGACUGGAUGAUUUAAAAAUGAAAUGUAUUAAUGAGAUGAUAUGUGCUGUAACCAUUUGUAAUGUUUGAAUAAUCUUUAGUCUGUAACAAAUACUGUAAAGUGCUCUCUCUGUAAGACCGAAAAACAGAAUCUGGUACAACUUGAUACACUGGCCGGCCUUGAGCAGUCUCUUAUUAAAAUUGGCACGAUUCCCAGAAUUUAGUGCUGAAAUCUCUGUUAAGACUUUUCAGCUUGACUACAGAAUAAUGCUGUACUAAUAGAUGUAUGUUAAUAUGCUUGUUUUAAAUGGUAUAGAUUGCUGUGGUAACAUAUAAUCAUAGGUAGUGAUAAUUAUUGUUAGUAUGAAAUACUAUGAACAAUUUUUAUGUAUAAGAUCAUAUGAUUCACUUUGCUUAAUAUGAUAGCAUACCUGAAGCUGUUUUCUAUCAAGAUGAGCAUAGUUAAAAACUGAGUCCUAAUUCAAUGAAAAGAAUUACUGUGUGCUUACAUUCAAGAAUUAUAACUUCUGAAUAUAAAGGGAAAAGGAGUUAGGAGUAUUCUUAAGGGAAAGAGAAAAACAGAAAAGGAUUAAAAGACCUCGCUUUGAGUAGGUUUCUGCUUGUAAUUCAGUUUUAAAAUAAGUAGGUGGGUAAGAACAACCUAGAGUAAAAGCAGACUCUAACUUAAGAAAAUAAGCAUUGUCAGAAGAUACACCACAACUAGAGAGCAGAAAAAUUGAAUAAAAUCCUAUUGUAAUAUUGCGGAUAUACUGCUGCUAGCAGAAAGUAAUAAGGUUAGCAGCCAUACGCUAUAAGAAGUAAUGUACUAGUUUGACUCUGAAGUUAAAAGACGCAGCAUAAAAAGAUGUUGUGUUUAAAAUACAAAAUAAAAGGAUUGAAUAAAUAAUGAAGAAUAAAAGCAGGAGAUCGGUUUUAGGAGAGUAAACUCUAUGUGACCUGUCUUCUUGAACUCUCUUAUCAGCCUGCCCUUGGAGAAAUUAAUAUUAGCUGCUGGAAGGCCUCUUUGGUGGGAAGAAGCCGGAAUUUUUUUAUCAGAAGGCUUAUAGUAUCGGGCCGGACUGCAAAAAUAGGGAGUUAGGACGGAUGGUCUUAGCACCUAAGAUAGUUAGUUGCCGGGCGGAACAAGCAUGUAAGAUACAGGUGUAAGGAAAGUUCUAGGGAACAUUAAUCACUAUUAAACUUGGCAAGAAAAGAGGUGUCUUCAGCAAGCUGGUUUUAGCCAGUAUGUGUAUAGCUGAAACAUACAGGGUCAUCUGGAUGUCAAUUAAGUUCAAGCUACCAGGGGCCCAUAGGAGAAAAACAUUACAGCUUUACAGCUCAGUAAAAUAGUUAGGUUUUCCAUAAGGAGAAAACUCUACAUUAAAAAGAUAUAAGAUGGAAGUUCCCUAUAAUACCUGCUAAACACACACCUGUAAGGAAAGAAUGAAAUUAAUUUGAGAGUGAGAUGACAUGAGGGAAUAUAUUUUUGAAAGCCAAGUUCAUGUAAUCAAUUAUAAUCAUUAUAACUAUAACUGCUAUAUUAUGAUAUAACUAUUGGUGUUGCAUAUAUUCAAAAAACACCACUUUUCUUAUAUUGGUGUUGCAUAUAUUUAAAACACCACUCCUUUUUAUAAUGCACCCAUAUUAAGUAGUGAAUCAAGGUUGCAGGGAUUUUGUGAACUCUGCUUCACCUAACUUUUCAGAUGAAGGAGGGGGGCCAAGAAUGAGUGGAUGAGAACAUGGGCUAGUGUUGAUUUAUUAAAUGUUGUUGAUUUGUUGGCAUAUGACCUUAAUUGAGUCUGAGGAGUUGGUUGAAUUCUUUAGAGAUUACUGUUUGCCAAGAGAUAAGGACUGUCAAUAUAGAUUGAUGACUGGAUCUAAUUGGGGCUUCCCAUUGCUUUCAAUGGGACGAAAAUUGUAUAAAAACCCUGGGCCGAUCACACUGAGACCACCACAAUCAAGCUUGGCAGAGCUAUGUGGUCCAUCCUUUGCAGAUCUCUACAGAACAGUCCUUCUCUUUUGUUCACGCUACUCUUCCUUAUAAUAGGAGGUAAGCAUAUUAAUGGUAUUAUUGUAUCUCGCAUUUAUUGGUUAUAUUGCUAUGAGGUUUUGAAACAAUGUUUUAGUAUUAAGAGUGUUAUAUUGAAUGUGCUAAAACAUAGCAGUGGGUGCUUGUAGGCUUUGUGCUUAACCAGCCUGAGGGCUGCACUGAAUACAUAUAAUUGUAUUAUGUUAUUGAAGUAUUAAAUGCUGAAGCUUGUAAUAAACUUAGGAUUGCUAAUUAUUGUUACAUGUUUUCGGGUUUUGGUAGUAUGCGCAAACUACUAAACCAAUAUUAAAGGCAUUUUAAUAAAACGAAGGAGCGCUGAUGUUGCUCUGAUUCGUGAAACUUUGAAUAAA